rnacentral:rRNA from 1 species
UACGUAGGGUGCGAGCGUUGUCCGGAAUUAUUGGGCGUAAAGAGCUCGUAGGCGGUUUGUCGCGUCGGCCGUGAAAUCUCCACGCUUAACGUGGAGCGUGCGGUCGAUACGGGCAGACUUGAGUUCGGUAGGGGAGACUGGAAUUCCUGGUGUAGCGGUGAAAUGCGCAGAUAUCAGGAGGAACACCGGUGGCGAAGGCGGUUCUCUGGGCAUGACCUGACGCUGAGGAGCGAAAGUGUGGGGAGCGAACAGG